ACCAGACAAACGCCCUGCAGAUCCCAUCCAAUCCACAGACCCUUCAGAGCCACAUGCAGCUGCCGCCCGUACAGGGAAACAACAGGUUCAGGGUUCCUGUGUCGCAUCAGAUGUCUUCAGUACCCUUGUCAUCUCACCAAAACACUCCCAAACUCCCCAGAUACUCCAGCCAUCCCAGGACAUCCCACCCUGACAGUUUCUCUGCCGAUGUCCAGACCGUGUUCUCAUACGGUGACUCACCGCAGGCUGCCAAACACA